GGCUCUUUGGUGAUGUGGUCAGCACUUAUGACUCUUACCCAGGAGUCUGGGGUUCAAUCCCCGCCCGGGCCC